UGUCAGCUUUUCUAUUAUUGUGUUCACAUGGCGCUACCUAACGACACCGCUAUUCAGACACGUUGUCUACGUAGCUACGUAAGUUUCUACGUAAGAUGCUCGGUACCUGGUCCUGCAGGGAGGCCGGAGCUACUCCAUGGCUCCUACCAUCGCGCGGCCGGAUGGCCGCAUGCGUGUGCAUUGCAGACUUUUUGUUGUUGCCUUUUCGGAUGUGCAUGCACGAGGAACUUCCUUCUUUGGAACUGCUUCUUGCAUGAGCUGUUUCGGAUAUUUCGUCUCCUGGCCUGGCUUAUUUCGUUUCGGUGCUGCUGAGACCUCCUUUCGCGGAAUAUUACUCAAUGACAGUGUGCGAAGAACGCGAGUUCCCCUUCUCGACGAAAAUCGUGGACUAACAGUUUGAAGUCAUUGAACUACUUCCAAGAGUUGUAUCGACAUCAACAGGAUUACGAUUUCAGUGCAAUAUGAUGCAGGAUGACCUUA